rnacentral:rRNA from 1 species
UACGGAGGAGGCAAGCGUUAUCCGGAAUUAUUGGGCGUAAAGCGUCCGCAGGUGGCUAUUCAAGUCUGCGGUCAAAGACUGGGGCUUAACCCUGGAAAGGCCGUGGAAACUGAAGAGCUAGAGUGCAGUAGGGGUAGAGGGAAUUCCCGGUGUAGCGGUGAAAUGCGUAGAGCUCGGGAAGAACAUCGGUGGCGAAAGCGCUCUGCUGGACUGCAACUGACACUCAGGGACGAAAGCGUGGGGAGCAAACAGG